rnacentral:rRNA from 1 species
CUUUCUUUGCUGGCGACCGGCGCACGGGUGAGUAACACGUAUCCAACCUGCCCUUUACUCGGGGAUAGCCUUUCGAAAGAAAGAUUAAUACCCGAUAGCAUAAUGAUUCCGCAUGGUUUCAUUAUUAAAGGAUUCCGGUAAAGGAUAGGGAUGCGUUCCAUUAGGUUGUUGGUGAGGUAACGGCCCACCAAGCCUUCGAUGGAUAGGGGUUCUGAGAGGAAGGUCCCCCACAUUGGAACUGAGACACGGUCCAA